rnacentral:rRNA from 1 species
GACAGAGGGUGCAAACGUUGUUCGGAAUUACUGGGCGUAAAGCGCGUGUAGGCUGCUCUGCAAGUCGGAUGUGAAAUCCCACGGCUCAACCGUGGAAGUGCACUCGAAACUGCGCAGCUAGAGUCCUGGAGAGGAAGGUGGAAUGCUUGGUGUAGAGGUGAAAUUCGUAGAUAUCAAGCGGAACACCGGUGGCGAAGGCGGCCUUCUGGACAGUGACUGACGCUGAGACGCGAAAGCGUGGGGAGCAAACAGG